rnacentral:lncRNA from 1 species
AAAAUUGCUGGUGAAACAUGCAGGGGCAUAAAUUUGCCCCUGAAACAAAACACAUGGAUACAGAGUUCCUGGAUAAAGGGAACAGAUUUAAAGGUUAUAUUGUAACUAAGUAGGGAAUUACACUCUGUCAACACUUUCAGUCCCUGUAUGCCUCAGUUUAUUUUCCAUUCUUUUCUAGGCACCUAUGAGUUUUGGCAGACCUCAAUCUGAAUUAUCUGUAAACUGGUUUAUAUUUAUCAGAUAUCCUGCAUUUUCAACAACCUCCCAGACCUUAAACUCCUUUUUGGAAGUUACCUUCAGUGGCUUUGCAUUAUGUCUGACCCAUGGUUGAUAUUGAUUGAGUGGAUGAGAGACUGCCAAGGACGCUUUCUGAAAUCUGCUAAGGUCCUGAGCCUCAACGUUAAGACCUAUAGGAAUCCUUUAGGAUGUCUGCUGAGUGGCCUGUCUCUCCAAGUGAGGCCAUUGCUUGCCUGUUAGGGUUUGGGGCCACUCUUGCCCUAUCCACCCUUAUAGUCCCUGCAUAAAGACCCUGCUGCUGACACCACCUUGUUGCAAUGUCAUUUGUAAAUCUUUGCCAAC